rnacentral:sRNA from 1 species
CCGCUCCUCAGCGACAAGGUCAUAUAUCUGCUUUCCAACAACGGUGGGCGCAACGAGGACGUCAUCAAUAGCAGGCAGCCCUGUCGCGGUCUGACGUUCUGUUGCUGCUGCUGUGCUAGAUGAGCUCGGCUCGCUAGAUGAUACAUUUGUCACAAGGCCGGUAGAAAUGCGUGAUUUUGCAUCCGCAAUAACGCCGUCAGCACGUUGCAGGGACUGUUGAAGGAUGGACGUAUUGGAUUGCAGCGUUGAGUGGAAGGAGUUCAGGGAGGCGAUUUCGGAUUGAAGGGUGGUGAUAGCAGCAUGGAGGGCUUGGGAUUGGGACUGCAGAGGUUGAAGGUUGGAGGCCGUUUGGGAGAUGGUGGAUUGGAGUGUUUGCGUGAGGCUUUCCGAAAGGCUGCGGAGAAGGGCGUCUUUUUCUGGAUUUGGUGGGAUAGGCGGUGCGACUUGAGGUGAAGAUAGAGAAGGGAGUUCAAGCUCGAAGAGUGAGUUGAGGGGGUCUCGCGAUUCGGGUUUUUUCUCCGGUGGUGCUGGUUGCUGUGGCCCCAGAGUGUGAUGCGACAUUGGAGGAGGUCCAUACGGUGGUACGUGAAGAGGACGAGAUAAUGGCUGUGUUUGCGGAGAGGGAUGGAUUUGUGGUUGUAAAUGUGGACCCUGGGGAGGAUAUGGUUGCUGCUGGUGUUGGUGGGAGAAUGCUUGGGGGACAUGGGGUGGAGUUAUCGUAUUGCUUCCGGGAACCGGGCUCACAGGUCCCGUAUGAGUUAGUCGAUAUCCAUCUUGCUGAUAGCCUUGUUUCUGUGGUAAUGGUAGAGUUUGGGGCGCCAUUUGCGAUUGUGGUGUGGGCUGUCUCAGGCUGCUAGAUCGCUGCGGCGCACGGUAGGUAUCAUGAUUGUUCGACACUUGGUCAUAGUUCCGCUGUUGCGAUACUGACCUUUGGUGACCGAUAUCGUUGGGAAGGGGGGGUAAAGGUGGCGGUGGUUUGUUGUAUUUCGCUUGCGCGGAGUGCUCCUGUUGUUGCCUUUCUGGCUCUACCAUCUGGCUUGGUUUCGGAGGUAAUUGCGGAGGAGCCUGGUGCAGUUGAGCAGGUGGGGGAGAUGGGCUGACUGUUUUAGCUAGUUCUCGUGGUAAAGGAGGAACGGGAGGCGGUGGCUCAUUUUGUUGCAUGGGGAUACGGAUAUUCUGUUGUUGCUUUGAUAUCACUGGAGGCUCCUUCGCGAAGACGUCUCGAAGGAUAUACAAUAAAUCGACAAUCGUUGACCGAUCUGAUGCUUCUGACCAGUGUGCCAGAUAAUGAUGAUAUACCCUUCCCUCCCCACUAACAUGUUGACCUGGGCGAACUAGCAUAUCCUGCGUCGGGGUGACAUACACAAAAGGCGGCUCACGGGGAUAGGCCUUGGGCACCCAUAUCGUUAUCGGAAAUCGAUAUAGUGCUCCGCGAAACGUGACAGGCAGCGUUCCGGCGAGUUGGAGGAGUAAAGCAGGUGUGCCAUUCUCAUAUGUGUAGACAUCCGUCCUGAGAACGAAGCCGGGAUAUUGUGCGAGGAGGUUUGUUACGUCGUUGUAUGUUCUGUUUGGGUCUCGAUAUGCUUGAUUGGGCCCGUAUUCGGGACUUGUGAGCACUCGAUACAGCCAGGUUAAUGUCUUCUGUGGCACUACUGCCAUGGUUGUGGUGCAGGAGAAGCCCAGCAGACAUGGCGCAUCCGUCUCGGUGGAAAUGGUUGGGUUUGGUGGAAGUCGGUGAUGUGUGACGAUGCUGAUUGUCGGGCAAAGCGCCGAGACCUUAUUUUCUUGAGUUGCCGGGUUUAGUGCCUGAACUCCCACGUUGGUGGAAGCAAGGGAUGAACAAUACUAGCUUCCGAAAGUAUGCACACUACAAGUGGCCUCAAUUAAAAGAAAAAUACACCCGGUAAUGACUCCACGAAUGUAAAUAAAAAACGAACGCAAAAAAGGGAAAGAGGGGGAAGAAGAAAAAGAUGAAAUAAAGGGAAAACAAGAGAGACAAAUAAAAGGGGGAAGGAGAGUUUAGUAGAACCUAUUAAAAAACGAGGCGCUGGGAAAACCAACUUCAAUCCAUCGACAGAACAGUCGGCUAGAGUAAAACAAAAGAAAAACAGGAGCACCCAUGUACAAUUACGUGUGUGAGUGGACACAAUAUACACAAAAGGAGAGAAUGGAUAUAUUCCAAAACAUAGAACAGUUCCAUUCAGGCUUUGGCACACGCAUCAAAAUCGAGCCCGGUGUAUA